rnacentral:rRNA from 1 species
GAUGAACGCUGGCGGCGUGCUUAACACAUGCAAGUCGAACGGAAAGGCUCUUGCUUGCAGGGGUACUCGAGUGGCGAACGGGUGAGUAACACGUGGGUGAUCUGCCCUGCACUUCGGGGUAAGCCUGGGAAACUGGGUCUAAUAUCGGAUAGGAUGAUGGUUUGGAUGCCAUUGUGGAAAGUUUUUCGGUUUGGGAUGAGCUCGCGGCCUAUCAGCUUGUUGGUGGGGUAAUGGCUUACCAAGGCGUCGACGGGUAGCCGGCCUGAGAGGGUGUACGGCCACAUUGGGACUGAGGUACGGCCCAGACUCCUACGGGAGGCAGAGGUGGGGAAUAUUGCACAAUGGGCGCGAGCCUGAUGCAGCGACGCCGCGUGGGGGAUGACGGCCUUCAGGUUGUAAACUACUUUCGCUAGGGACGAAGCGCAAGUGACGGUACCUGGAGAAGAAGCACCGGCUAACUACGUG